rnacentral:sRNA from 1 species
GCGCUUUAGCAAUAGAGUGCUAGUGGCAAACGGGUGAUUAACACGUGGGUGACCUGCCUCAAAGUGGGGAACAACAGACCGAAAGGUUUGCUAAUACCGCAUGUGCUCGACGAUUCAAUUGGUCGAGUAAAACCGCAAGGUGCUUUGAGAGGGGCCCGCGUCCCAUCAGGUAGUUGGUGAGGUAAUGGCCCACCAAGCCGAUGACGGGUAGCUGGUCUGAGAGGACGAUCAGCCACAAUGGAACUGAGACACGGGACAUACUCCUACGGGAUUUUCCGCAGUGGUAUUUCUAGAAAUCUCCUACAAAUUUCAG